GCGAGAGUAGCUCAGUGGUAGAGCUCCACCUUGCCAAGGUGGUUGUCGCGAGUUCAAGUCUCGUCUCUCGCU
rnacentral:tRNA from 1 species